rnacentral:rRNA from 1 species
AUUGAACGCUGGCGGCAGGCUUAACACAUGCAAGUCGAGCGGAGAGAGGUAGCUUGCUACCGAUCUUAGCGGCGGACGGGUGAGUAAUGCUUAGGAAUCUGCCUAUUAGUGGGGGACAACAUUUCGAAAGGAAUGCUAAUACCGCAUACGUCCUACGGGAGAAAGCAGGGGAUCUUCGGACCUUGCGCUAAUAGAUGAGCCUACGUCGGAUUAGCUAGUUGGUGGGGUAAAGGCCUACCAAGGCGACGAUCUGUAGCGGGUCUGAGAGGAUGAUCCGCCACACUGGGACUGAGACACGGCCCAGACUCCUACGGGAGGCAGCAGUGGGGAAUAUUGGACAAUGGGCGGAAGCCUGAUCCAGCCAUGCCGCGUGUGUGAAGAAGGCCUUAUGGUUGUAAAGCACUUUAAGCGAGGAGGAGGCUACUUUAGUUAAUACCUAGAGAUAGUGGACGUUACUCGCAGAAUAAGCACCGGCUAACUCUGUGCCAGCCGCCGCCGUAAGAC